UUAGUUAAUUUGUGAUAAACCCAGUCGGAAGUAGUUUCUUGGUAUUUUGAGUAGCUUCAAAAUCUACUGGUCAAAACACACAAAAACGCCCAAAGAUUUUUUGCUUCCCUCCAAUUCAAUCCACUUAAUCUCAAACCUCAGACCCCAUUCGUCUUCUCUUAUCCCUAAAUCCUUCUUCCAGUUCUAAUAUAUUCAAAAAGUUAAAAUCCUAGCUUUUACUUUUACUUCCGUCAAGAGACUUUAUUAAUGGAGCUCACUUGUUUGCAUAACAAAUUCAAUUUUCCUUCUUUACCUCACCUUUCACGUCCAUUCUUCAAGAACCCUAACCCCAGAGUCUUCCCUCGAAAAAUAAACAUUCUUUUUCUAGCUUCGGCUUCGGAUACUGCUGUGGCUAGUUCAAUAAAGGAACUUGGCAGCAAGAAAGAUGAUGAAUUUGGGGACUUGAAAUCUUGGAUGCACAGAAAUGGCUUGCCCCGUUGUAAAGUUGUGCUCAAUGAGAGCACUUCACACGAUGAGAAGCAUAUGCCUGUACAUUAUGUCGUUGCCAGCGACGAUCUUCCGGCAGGUGACGUGGCGUUUUCGGUGCCCAAUUCAUUGGUUGUUACGCUUGAGAGAGUGCUGGGAAACGAGACUGUUGCUGAACUUUUGACAACGAACAAGUUGUCCGAAUUGGCAUGCUUAGCUUUAUAUUUAAUGUAUGAGAAGAAGCAAGGAAAGAAAUCAUUCUGGUAUCCCUAUAUUAGAGAGCUCGAUCGCCAACGAGGAAGGGGCCAGCUGGCUGUGGAAUCUCCCCUUCUAUGGUCAGAGGAAGAAUUGGCUUACCUAACUGGUAGCCCCACUAAGGCCGAAGUUCUUGAAAGGGCUGAAGGAAUAAAAAGAGAGUAUGAUGAGCUUGAUACUGUCUGGUUUAUGGCUGGGUCUCUCUUUCAGCAAUAUCCAUAUGAUAUACCUACUGAGGCUUUUCCAUUUGAGAUUUUCAAACAAGCUUUUGUUGCUGUUCAGUCUUGUGUGGUGCAUUUACAGAAAGUACCUUUGGCUCAGAGAUUUGCAUUGGUUCCUCUUGGACCCCCAUUGCUAGCUUACAGAAGCAAUUGCAAGGCAAUGUUAAGUGCUGUUAAUGGUGCUGUUGAACUAGUGGUUGAUCGCGCAUGUAAGGCUGGGGAACCCAUUGUUGUCUGGUGUGGACCACAGCCAAAUUCAAAACUGCUCAUCAACUACGGAUUUGUUGAUGAUGAUAAUUCUUAUGAUCGCCUGGUUGUUGAGGCAGCUUUGAAUACCGAAGAUCCUCAAUAUCAGGACAAGAGACUGGUUGUUCAAAGAAACGGCAAACUAUCAGUUCAAGUUUUUCAUGUUUAUGCAGGGAAGGAAAAAGAAGCUGUUUUUGAUAUGCUUCCAUAUUUGCGAUUGGGCUAUGUUUCAGAUCCUUCUGAGAUGCAAUCUGUUCUUUCUUCUCAAGGUCCAGUGUGCCCAGUUAGUUUGUUUAUUGCAAACUGCUAUUUAUUUGCAUACUUUAUUAACUGCAUCACUAAAUCGUAAUUGAAUCUAAGAUUUAUGUCCUACUCAAAUUGAAAUCCAGCUAAUUCUGUUAGAUGACUGAACAAACGUGAUUGAGAAAGAUCAUUACUUGUAGAAAAAAAGGUUUUCAGCAGUGGCCCUUUCUUCCUUUGAAAAAUUGUUUCUACUUGCACCUUUUAUUGACCAAUUAAAAUCCAGAUAUUAGUUUAGAACCAGUGAAAUUCCUUUUUCCUCCACUAAAAUUCUGGUGACAUACUUUUCAUAAUAGGUGAGUCCCUGUAUGGAACGAGCAGUGCGAGACCAGCUUGCUGAUUACUUCAAUAGACGUCUGGCUGGCUACCUUACUACACUGAACGAAGAUGAGUCAUUGUUGUCAGAUCCUAACUUGAAUCCCAGGAGACGAGUUGCCACUGAGCUAGUUAGGUUGGAGAAGAAAAUUCUCCAUGCUUGUCUGCAAGCAACAACUGAACUGAUAGAUGAGUUACCUGAUCACACUGUGUCUCCAUGCCCUGCACCUUAUGCCCCGUUGUUGAAAUGAAAGGUCUCUUUCUUACCUUCAAUGGCCAUUAUUAUGAAACUCAUCUUCACAUUGCCAGAAAACACACCAAUUGGUCUCUCAAAUCUCCUUUGGGAUUUUAAAAACUUAUUGGAUGUCUCAUUGCAUACAUAAAGUAAAGGAAGUUGCGGAUUCUGACUUCCACUUAAAGUUACAAUGGCAAAUAUUAGAGACUUGGGACCCAACUGACUGAUGCAAUGAACCUUUCAAUUGCACAUGGAAAGUAGCCGUACAUGAUAAAUGUGUUGAUUUGAGUAGAGGAGACAGAGAGGAAUGCAACAACAACCAAUUGAUUCCUUGAAAUGUGGGGUAUAUUUAACGUAGAGAGUAGAUUUUAUGUGAUUUGAUCUGUAACUCUUUAUCUCAUAAUUUCCAAUCUUUUGUUUUUAGCUCAAUGUAAUGUAAAUAGAAAGGGUACCACUAGCAGCUAUGCAACAAUCCUCUACAGACGUGUGUGUUCUUUUUUUAAUGAUGAGGAUUAUCGGACUGCGACCGAUAUUUAAUUAGAUUAUCUAACGUUAUAGAACUAGUGGUAUCAUCCCUUA